GGGGGUGUAGCUCAGUGGUACAGCAUAUGCUUUGCAUGCAUGAGGUCCUGGGUUUGAUCCUACACCUUCU
rnacentral:tRNA from 1 species